UACGAAGGGGGCUAGCGUUGCUCGGAAUCACUGGGCGUAAAGCGCACGUAGGCGGACUCUUAAGUCGGUGGUGAAAUCCUGGAGCUCAACUCCAGAACUGCCUUCGAUACUGGAAAGCUCGAGUCCGGGAGAGGUGAGUGGAACUGCGAGUGUAGAGGUGAAAUUCGUAGAUAUUCGCAAGAACACCAGUGGCGAAGGCGGCUCACUGGCCCGGUACUGACGCUGAGGUGCGAAAGCGUGGGGAGCAACCAGG
rnacentral:rRNA from 1 species